AACGAACGCUGGCGGCAGGCCUAACACAUGCAAGUCGAGCGGACCUUUCGGGGUCAGCGGCGGACGGGUGAGUAACGCGUGGGAAUAUGCCCUUCUCUACGGUAUAGUCCUGGGAAACUGGGGGUAAUACCGUAUACGCCCUUUGGGGGUAAGAUUUAUCGGGGAAGGAUUAGCCCGCGUUGGAUUAGGUAGUUGGUGGGGUAAUGGCCUACCAAGCCGACGAUCCUUAGCUGGUUUGAGAGGAUGAUCAGCCACACUGGGACUGAGACACGGCCCAGACUCCUACGGGAGGCAGCAGUGGGGAAUCUUAGACAAUGGGGGCAACCCUGAUCUAGCCAUGCCGCGUGAGUGAUGAAGGCCUUAGGGUUGUAAAGCUCUUUCAGCUGGGAAGAUAAUGACGGUACCAGCAGAAGAAGCCCCGGCUAACUCCGUG
rnacentral:rRNA from 1 species